rnacentral:lncRNA from 1 species
UUUAAUUUUAGUAAUACCAUGUAACCUAGCUGGAAAAAUGGAUGUUUAUAUGAUAAUGAACUUGAAUAUCCCUCGAUUCAUCAUUUCCAAAUCAAUUGACUUGUCAAAAAGUAUUCAUAAGACAAUCAGUGUUUAGGGGGUGGGUUUGAAGUUUAAAGAAGAGGCUCAGGUGGUAAUGCAUGUGUGGUGAUCAUAGUAAUCUUUUGCAUGCUCUUUGUACAAAGCAAUAAUAUGUAUUCCAAACUAAUUAAAGAUAGUGAGAAC